CAACUGCAGUACCACCAGCAACAAUAUCUGCAGGACCAUCAGCAUCGCAUCAAGAUUUCCUGCAAUAUCGCUCCCAGCACCCAGGUCCAACAUCUCCAAGAGCUUUUUACCGGUGGAGUCAAUAUGGGGGAGAUGAUCCCUCCUUUAGAUGGAGGAGACAAGCCCCAUAUGGCACCACUGGUGA
rnacentral:lncRNA from 1 species